UAUCAUGCAGUUCGAGCGAACUGAUUAGAAGCUUGCUUCUAUGACGUUAGCGGCGGACGGGUGAGUAACACGUGGGCAACCUGCCUGUAAGACUGGGAUAACUUCGGGAAACCGAAGCUAAUACCGGAUAGGAUCUUCUCCUUCAUGGGAGAUGAUUGAAAGAUGGUUUCGGCUAUCACUUACAGAUGGGCCCGCGGUGCAUUAGCUAGUUGGUGAGGUAACGGCUCACCAAGGCAACGAUGCAUAGCCGACCUGAGAGGGUGAUCGGCCACACUGGGACUGAGACACGGCCCAGACUCCUACGGGAGGCAGCAGUAGGGAAUCUUCCGCAAUGGACGAAAGUCUGACGGAGCAACGCCGCGUGAGUGAUGAAGGCUUUCGGGUCGUAAAACUCUGUUGUUAGGGAAGAACAAGUACGAGAGUAACUGCUCGUACCUUGACGGUACCUAACCAGAAAGCCACGGCUAACUACGUGCCAGCAGCCGCGGUAAUACGUAGGUGGCAAGCGUUAUCCGGAAUUAUUGGGCGUAAAGCGCGCGCAGGCGGUUUCUUAAGUCUGAUGUGAAAGCCCACGGCUCAACCGUGGAGGGUCAUUGGAAACUGGGGAACUUGAGUGCAGAAGAGAAAAGCGGAAUUCCACGUGUAGCGGUGAAAUGCGUAGAGAUGUGGAGGAACACCAGUGGCGAAGGCGGCUUUUUGG
rnacentral:rRNA from 1 species